rnacentral:rRNA from 1 species
UACGUAGGGUGCGAGCGUUAAUCGGAAUUACUGGGCGUAAAGCGUGCGCAGGCGGUUUUGUAAGCCAGGUGUGAAAUCCCCCGGGCUCAACCUGGGAAUGGCAUUUGGGACUGCAAGGCUGGAGUGCGGCAGAGGAGACUGGAAUUCCUGGUGUAGCAGUGAAAUGCGUAGAUAUCAGGAGGAAUACCGAUGGCGAAGGCAGGUCUCUGGGCUGACACUGACGCUCAUGCACGAAAGCGUGGGGAGCAAAAGGG